CUACGGGGCGCUGCAGUAGGGAAUUUUCGGCAAUGGGCGCAAGCCUGACCGAGCAACGCCGCGUGAGUGAUUAAGGCCUUCGGGUUGUAAAGCUCUGUUGUAAAGGAAGAACAAUCAGUAUAGGAAAUGAUGCUGAUGUGACGGUACUUUACCAGAAAGCCACGGCUAACUACGUGCCAGCAGCCGCGGUAAUACGUAGGUGGCAGAGCGUUAUCCGGAAUUAUUGGGCGUAAAGGGAGCGUAGGCGGUUUAUUAAGUCUAUGGGGAAAGUGCGGGGCUCAACCCCGGUAUGGCCAUAGAAACUGGAAGACGUGGGUGCAGAAGAGGGUGGUGGAAUUCCAUGUGUAGCGGUAAAAUGCGUAGAUAUAUGGAGGAACACCGGUGGCGAAGGCGGCUCCCUGGUCUGUUACUGACGCUGAGGCGCGAAAGCGUGGGGAGCAAAUAGGAUUAGAUACCCUCGUAGUC
rnacentral:rRNA from 1 species